UACGGAGGAUCCGAGCGUUAUCCGGAUUUAUUGGGUUUAAAGGGUGCGUAGGCGGGAGAUUAAGUCGGUGGUGAAAUUUUGCAGCUCAACUGUAAAAGUGCCUUCGAAACUGGUUUCCUUGAGUGUAGAUGAAGUAGGCGGAAUUUGUGGUGUAGCGGUGAAAUGCAUAGAUAUCACGAGGAACUCCGAUUGCGCAGGCAGCUUACUAAACUACUACUGACGCUCAGGCACGAAGGCGUGGGGAUCAAACAGGAUUAGAUACCCCCGUACGUCCCU
rnacentral:rRNA from 1 species